rnacentral:rRNA from 1 species
GCUUAUGGCCACACCGCCUGGUUCACGGCUGAUCUCGUUUGAUCUCGGAAGCUAUGAUAGGUUGGGCCUGGUUAGUACUUGGAUGGGAGACCGCCUGGGAAUACCAGGUGCGUAAGCU